CUUGGGUCGUAAACCUCUUUUCUCAAGGAAGAAGAAAGUGACGGUACUUGAGGAAUAAGCAUCGGCUAACUCCGUGCCAGCAGCCGCGGUAAUACGGAGGAUGCAAGCGUUAUCCGGAAUGAUUGGGCGUAAAGGGUCUGCAGGUGGAACUGAAAGUCUGCUGUUAAAGAGUUUGGCUUAACCAAAUAAAAGCGGUGGAAACUACAGAACUAGAGUGCGGUAGGGGCAAAAGGAAUUCCUGGUGUAGCGGUGAAAUGCGUAGAUAUCAGGAAGAACACCGGUGGCGAAAGCGUUUUGCUAGACCGUAACUGACACUGAGGGACGAAAGCUAGGGGAGCGAAUGGGAUUAGAUACCCCAGUAGUCCUAGCCGUAAACGAUGGAUACUAGGCGUGGCUUGUAUCGACCCGAGCCGUGCCGGAGCUAACGCGUUAAGUAUCCCGCCUGGGGAGUACGCACGCAAGUGUGAAACUCAAAGGAAUUGACGGGGGCCCGCACAAGCGGUGGAGUAUGUGGUUUAAUUCGAUGCAACGCGAAGAACCUUACCAAGACUUGACAUCCUGCGAAUCCCGGUGAAAGCUGGGAGUGCCUUAGGGAGCGCAGAGACAGGUGGUGCAUGGCUGUCGUCAGCUCGUGUCGUGAGAUGUUGGGUUAAGUCCCGCAACGAGCGCAACCCUCGUUUUUAGUUGCCAGCAUUAAGUUGGGCACUCUAGAGAGACUGCCGGUGACAAACCGGAGGAAGGUGGGGAUGACGUCAAGUCAGCAUGCCCCUUACGUCUUGGGCUACACACGUACUACAAUGCUACGGACAGAGGGCAGCGAGCCAGGGAUGGCAAGCGAAUCCAGAAACCGUAGCUCAGUUCAGAUCGAAGGCUGCAACUCGCCUUCGUGAAGGAGGA
rnacentral:rRNA from 1 species